rnacentral:rRNA from 1 species
AAUGAACGCUGGCGGCAGGCCUAACACAUGCAAGUCGAACGAAGCCUUCGGGCUUAGUGGCGGACGGGUGAGUAACGCGUGGGAACGUGCCCUGUGCUUCGGAAUAGCCCCGGGAAACUGGGAGUAAUACCGAAUGUGCCCUACGGGGGAAAGAUUUAUCGGCAAAGGAUCGGCCCGGGUUGGAUUAGGUAGUUGGGGGGGUAAUGGCCUACCAAGCCGACGAUCCAUAGCUGGUUUGAGAGGAUGAUCAGCCACACUGGGACUGAGACACGGCCCAGACUCCUACGGGAGGCAGCAGUGGGGAAUCUUAGACAAUGGGGGAAACCCUGAUCUAGCCAUGCCGCGUGAUCGAUGAAGGCCUUAGGGUUGUAAAGAUCUUUCAGGUGGGAAGAUAGUGUCUGUACCACCAGAAGAAGCCCCGGCUAACUCCGUGCCAGCAGCCGCCGUAAGAC